UCAGCGGCGGCGUCUUGUUCUUUAAAGGGGUGGACUUGAAUGAUUACUGCUCUUGGUGCCAUUAUAUAACCUGUGCCCCUCCGAGCUGUAAACCAGGCUACAUUUCUUGUGAGGAUUACCAGAUCGGAAACAAACUUAACGUGACAUGUUUGAACAAUGGAAGAAGUGGCAUUUUUUCUCUGUCAAACCGUAACCCUGACGAGCAGGCUGAAGAACUAUGUUAUCGCCUUUGCGGUAAAUAACCAGACACAGAAAUACAACAUCUCUUAGGGAGAUUUCAUUCAAUAAACUUAUGUAUAUGAUUUGUUCUUACUGCUGCUGCUGACAAUAAGAAUGAGUCACUGUGGUUGUUGCCAUAGUUGUUAUCUCGUUAUAUAUAUUUCUCCUUGCUAUGAAAUUACUGCAGGAUGUAUAUUUAUAAGUUUGUCUGAAGGAA